UAAUUUUCGGCAGACACAACAUCUUUGUUUGUAUGUGGUGCUGAGGAUCGAACCCAGGCCGCACGCAUGGCAGGCGAGCGCGCUACCGCUUGAGCCACAUCCCCAGCCCUCUAAGUUGACUUUGUCCAACGUUUUGGCCACAGUGACGUCAAGCUGACUAACACAGCCCUUAUCCCACGAAUGGUUUGCAAAUAGUGCCUUCUUCUAUGGGUUGUCACUUCACUCUGUUAAUUAUCUCCUUUUCUAUGAUGAACCUUUUUUAAAAAAU
rnacentral:lncRNA from 1 species